GCUUGUCUCAAAGAUUAAGCCAUGCAUGUCUUAGUGUAAAUAACUCUUAUGAAACUGCGAAUGGCUCAUUAAAUCAGUUAUCGUUUAUUUGAUGGUCCCUUACUACAUGGAUAACCGUAGUAAUUCUAGAGCUAAUACAUGCACAAAGGCCCGACUCACGAAGGGCUGUAUUUAUUAGAUAAAAAACCAAUGCCCCUCGGGGCUCCUUGGUGAAUCAUAAUAACUUAACGAAUCGCAUGGCCUUGCGCCGGCGAUGGUUCAUUCAAAUUUCUGCCCUAUCAACUUUCGAUGGUAGGAUAGUGGCCUACCAUGGUGGCAACGGGUAACGGGGAAUUAGGGUUCGAUUCCGGAGAGGGAGCCUGAGAAACGGCUACCACAUCCAAGGAAGGCAGCAGG
rnacentral:rRNA from 1 species